CAACCCUCAAGCUCAGCUUGGUAUUGGGUGCCACCUGGCUAUGGUGCGCCUUAAAAUCAGUGGCGGUGCCGCCUGGCUUCAAGCGUAGUAAAUCUCUCGCUUUGGAGGCUUGGACGUGUGCUAGCCAUCAACCCCUAAUUUAUCAAAAA
rnacentral:misc_RNA from 1 species